GACUCAGUAGUGUCGGAUUCCCGGGGGAAGCCUUACGGCUGCAUCCUAUAAAGGAAAGAAUGACGAAGCAAAGGCGAAGUGAAACCAAAGCUUAAAAUUGACUUCUCUGAUGCGAUCUUGUUUGACUGAAGAACGACGUUGACCAUUAGCACCCGUAACGACAGUAUCUUCCUAAUCAUUACAGCCUUUCUCAAGAUCUAGCCACAAAUAUACAGCUUUCUCUUCAUCUUCCUGCUUCCCACCGUAAAGCAAAGGCUGACACCAAGGUUCAAAGCGUUCGAAGUUCAGGAUCGAUCGAUCCAACGAAGUGUUUACCUCUUUAAGAUGUAAACGUGGGUCAUGAGAUGGGUUCCCACACACCAACUCAUCCCCUACAGGCCUAGAAGAAUGUAGGUCAUGGAGGACACAUUAACAUCUCAAGAGCGGAAGGAAGAGUAGAGGUCCAGAGUGAUCAAGUGCAUGUGAAUAAUUUUCGUACUGCCCUCAAUUCAAAGUGGCAAUCUGGGCAGGUAUUAUUUCUUAGGAAAGUAGUACAAAAUAUACAAGAGCCAUUAAUAAGAAAAUUUAAUUAAAUACCAGAACAUUUUUUCCUACGUUUAUCUUAAAGCUAUUUUAUCACCAAUUUUUUAUUUCCAUUGGUUUCCGAACACCUUGAGAUAAAUUCAUCACUAUUGAGCCUUCAAAAUCAUCAACUUGGAUUAGGUUUACGAAAUGAGUGCUUUUUCUCUUCCUUUCCUUUUCUCCAACUGCGUCUCAUUUUUUCAUAGGUCAAUGUAAUGACACUAACCUGCUAUAUCCUACUUCCAACAAAUUUUCACGAAUUCUCGUUUAGUCAAAAUAGAUUACGUCCCAGAUCUUUGCACCUCUUGAAGAGAUAGUUCCGAAACGGUUCAUCACCUUUUUUAUUAUUGUUCUUAUUCUAAUCAGUUUUGGAAAGCUUUUAAAAUAAUUUGGUUUGGGCUUUCUGGUGAAAAUGUUGAACUCACUUUCCAAGAUAUUUUAGUAGGUAAAUUGGAUAAAGUAAGUUUGAAAUUGCAAGUUAGUUAUUGCUAAAUGAGACAUCUGGACCAGCCGUAAAUAGGUGCUAACCAGAAUACUGAUUGAUUUAAGGGAUUGGUUAAUCUGAAGUAUAAUACUGAACGACAUAAUUCAAUUAAAUACAAUGCUGAAGAGAAACUUCAGGUCAGAGGUAAAUUUUUCCCUAAUAAUGGCUUCCAUCUAUCUGAAUCAGUAAUUAUACGACUAAAGUAUGUAAUAGUAGGAAAUAAUUAAAGUGUAUAUAUAUAUAUAUCAAAUCUCGCGUCGUUCUUUCGCGUUCGCGAAUGGUUCUUUGUUCGUGAUUCAUCGAAGUGAUUACCCAAGCCGUGGUCAAUUGGGCACGGUUGCUUUCUAGUUACUAGAGGCUGAUAGUUUGUUUCUCGUUUCUGAAGCUCACGUUUCAUGAGAUUUACUUGAAGUCAGAAUAUUACGACGUUUUAUUGGAGAACCUGAAGUAAUUAAAUUAUGUCGUUGUUCAAUGUCUUCCCUUUGUGUUCUGGACAAAUGCAGCUCAAGGCUGGAACGGACAAAGAGGAGUAAAGAUCUAUUAUUAAGUUUAAGGACUCCAUUACACAACGGAUAGAUUUGAUUUAAAACAGAACUCGUAAUGCUUGUAUAUCUUGAAUUGUAUCAUUUAUAACAACGUAGUGAUCAGAAGCAGGACCGGAAUUACUGUUUAACGCUAAGCUAACACUGUUGCGUGUGCACUAGCUGGAAUGUUUUUUAAAUAUGAAAUGUUGCUGCAAGUACGCUAUACUUAGUUUUGGCUGCCUUAGCCAGCCUUUUUGUAGUCUCUAAAUUAUAACUAAAAGUGGGUUUUAUCCAAGCUUUGUUAAAACGCGAACGAGCUAGUAAAUUUUAACUGGAUCA